rnacentral:rRNA from 1 species
UACAGAGGGUGCAAGCGUUGUUCGGAAUUACUGGGCGUAAAGCGCGUGUAGGUGGCGGCGUAAGUCGGAUGUGAAAGCCCUUGGCUUAACCAAGGAAGUGCAUUCGAUACUGCGUCGCUUGAGUACUGGAGGGGAUGGCGGAAUUCCCGGUGUAGAGGUGAAAUUCGUAGAUAUCGGGAGGAACACCUGUGGCGAAGGCGGCCAUCUGGACAGUCACUGACACUGAGACGCGAAAGCGUGGGUAGCAAACAGG